ACCCGCUGAACUUAAGCAUAUCAAUAAGCGGAGGAAAAGAAACCAACAGGGAUUGCCCUAGUAACGGCGAGUGAAGCGGCAACAGCUCAAAUUUGAAAUCUGGCCCCCUCGGGGUCCGAGUUGUAAUUUGCAGAGGGUGCUUUGGCAAAGGUUGUGGUCUAAGUUCCUUGGAACAGGACGUCACAGAGGGUGAGAAUCCCGUACGUGGCCGCCAACCCGCGCCGUGUAAAGCCCCUUCGACGAGUCGAGUUGUUUGGGAAUGCAGCUCUAAAUGGGAGGUAAAUUUCUUCUAAAGCUAAAUAUUGGCCAGAGACCGAUAGCGCACAAGUAGAGUGAUCGAAAGAUGAAAAGCACUUUGGAAAGAGAGUCAAAAAGCACGUGAAAUUGUUGAAAGGGAAGCGCUUGCAGCCAGACUUGCCUGUAGUUGCUCACCCGGGCUCGCGCCCGGGGCAUUCUUCUGCGGGCAGGCCAGCAUCAGUCUCGGCGGUCGGAUAAAUGUGCGCCCAACGUACCUCUCCUCGGGGAGGACUUAUAGGGGCGCGCGGCAUGCGACCAGCUGGGACUGAGGUCCGCGCAUCUGCUAGGAUGCUGGCGUAAUGGCUGU
rnacentral:rRNA from 1 species